GAAGAAGAGGAAGAAGAAGAUGAACAAACACAAGUUGAAGAAGUUAAGGAAGCGCCUAAGGAGGAAGACUUAGUGUAUCUGACACUGUGUCAUCGAUCAUUUUGAAGGUAGAAGCUGCUUGUGGACUGCUGUGUUUUUAUUAUGGUUUCCUUAAGAAAUAUUUGAUACUCUCCUCAUAUGUUGGAUAAAACAAAGAGCAAUGACAUAAGUGUUUCAUGGUAAC
rnacentral:misc_RNA from 1 species